UACGUAGGGGCUAGCGUUGUCCGGAAUCAUUGGGCGUAAAGAGCGUGUAGGCGGUCCGGUAAGUCCGCUGUGAAAGUCGGGGGCUCAACCCUCGAAUGCCGGUGGAUACUGUCGGGCUAGAGUGCGGAAGAGGCGAGUGGAAUUCCGUGGUGUAGCGGUGAAAUGCGCAGAUAUCAGGAGGAACACCUAUUGCGAAGGCAGCUCGCUGGGACGUAACUGACGCUGAGACGCGAAAGCGUGGGGAGCAAACAGG
rnacentral:rRNA from 1 species